UACGAAGGGGGCGAGCGUUGUUCGGAUUUACUGGGCGUAAAGGGCGUGCAGGCGGUCUGUUAAGUGCAGGGUGAAAGCUCCCGGCUCAACUGGGAGAGGUCCUUGCAUACUGGCGGACUUGAGGGGGGUAGAGGAAAGUGGUAUUCCCGGUGUAGUGGUGAUAUGCGUAGAUAUCGGGAGGAACACCUGUGGCGAAGGCGGCUUUCUGGGCCCUACCUGACGCUGAGACGCGAAAGCGUGGGGAGCGAACCGG
rnacentral:rRNA from 1 species